UGCCCACCGGAGCCCAGGCCGGUUUCCUGCAGUGUUUCGGGGACAGGCGGUACCUUUGACCCUCGGGGCGGAUCAAGUCCAGACGUUUCAGUGAAGCUGCUGCCGGUACCGGGUGAACGUCAGCUCGGCUCCCCGUCUGAGGCUGCUCUUACUGCGGCUGACGGUGCGCAGCCGAGUCCGAGGUCUGAAGGCCUCGGCGCUGAAAUUUCUACCGAAAAUACAACGAAUCCUCGUAAUAGGAGAGGUUUCAGUCCAACACAUCAGACAUGGCAGACAGUAUGGGGCUGCAGUUUGUCAGCCCCUAUGCUUUCGAGGCCAUGCAGAAGGUGGACGUGGUGCGUUUAGCCGCUCUCAGUGACCCGGAGCUGAGGCUGCUGCUGCCCUGUCUGGUCCGGAUGGCUCUUUGUGCUCCAGCAGACCAGAGCCAGACAUGGGCUCAGGACAAGAAGCUCAUCCUCCGCCUCCUCUCUGGAGUGGAAGCUGUCAACUCCAUUGUUGCGCUGCUGUCUGUUGACUUUCAUGCUUUGGAGCAGGAUGCCCGGAAGGAGCAGCAGCUCAGGCACAAAGCUGGUGGAUCAAAUGGAGAAAGUAUUCUGGUGUCCCAGCUCCAGCAUGGCCUGACCCUGGAGUUUGAACACAGCGAUCCCCUCAGGAGACUCCGGCUGGCCCUCAGUGAACUGUUAGCCAUUAUGAAUAAGGUGGUGGAUUCAAACGGAGAGUUUUUCUUAAAGUCUUCUGAACUGUUUGAGAGCCCCGUUUACCUGGAGGAGGUUGCAGAUGUCCUCUGCAUUUUACAAGCAGAGCUUCCGUCCCUGCUGCCCAUUGUGGACGUGGCUGAGGCUCUGCUUCAUGUUCGUAAUGGUGACUGGUUUCUGUGUCUCCUGGUUGCCAAUGUUCCCGACAGCUUCAAUGAAGUCUGCAGGGGUCUGAUCAAAAACGGCGAGCGUCAGGACGAGGAGAGCGUGGGUGGUCGGCGCAGAACCGAAGCCCUGAGGCAGCUCUGUCAGAUGAACCCAUCUCAGGCCCUGAACAUCAGAGCAAUGGUGGUGGAGGAGUGUCAUCUACCUGGUCUGGGCGUGGCUCUGACUCUGGACUAUAAACCGGAUUCUGCAGACGAGGCCGUCAGUCCUCUGGUCUCUUAUGUCAGUGGUUUACUUUUAGGCACCAACAGCAAAGUCCGCACCUGGUUCAGCAUGUUCAUCCGCAACGGACAGCAGAGGAAGAGAGAGAGCAGCUCUGUGCUUUGGCAGAUGCGUAGACAGCUGUUGUUGGAGCUCGUUGCCAUUCUACCGCGUUCACGUAGCACCCACGUUCCCAAUGACGGAGACAUGGAUGAAGGCGGCGGGUCGGGGUAUUCUGGUCUCAGAGAGGAACAUGUGGUGAAGGCCAGCGCCCUGCUCCGACUCUACUGCGCCCUCAUGGGUAUCGCAGGCCUCAGACCUACAGAUGAAGAGGCGGAGCAGCUCCUUCAGCUGAUGACCAGCCGACCUCCAGCCACUCCUGCAGGUGUUCGCUUCGUCUCCCUGUCCUUCUGCAAACUGCUCGCCUUCCCUACUCUGGUCAGUACUCCAGAGCAGGAGCAGCUGAUGGUCAUGUGGCUCAGCUGGAUGAUCAAGGAAGAAGAAUAUUUUGAGAGCGCUGCGGGCGUAUCUGCUUCUUUCGGAGAGAUGCUAUUACUGGUUGCCAUGUAUUUCCAUAGCAACCAGCUCAGCUCCAUUAUUGAAUUGGUGUGCUCUACUUUGGGGAUGAAGAUUGCCAUCAAGCCGAGCUCUCUCAGCAAAAUGAAAACUAUCUUCACACAAGAGAUCUUCACCGAACAGGUGGUCACAGCCCAUGCAGUGAGAGUCGCAGUGACCAACAACUUGAGUGCGAACAUCAGCGGAUUCCUGCCGAUCCACUGCAUCUACCAGCUGCUCCGAAGCCGAGCCUUCACCAAGCACAAAGUGUCCAUUAAGGACUGGAUUUAUCGGCAGCUCUGUGAGACCACCACCCCCAUUCACACCCAGCUGAUCCCACUUAUCGACGCUUACAUCAACUCCAUCCUCACUCCAGCAUCCAAGGCCAACCCCGAGGCCACCAACCAGCCCAUAACGGAGCAGGAGAUCCUCAAUGUCUUCCAGAACUCCGCAGGGCAAGGAGAAGCCAGUCGAGGAGGACGACAGCGCUACUCCAUCACCACCCAGCUUCUUAUUCUUUACUACAUCCUGUCCUACGAGGAGAACCUGCUGGCGAGCACAAAACAAUUAGCUCUGAUGCAGAAGAAACCGAAGUCGUACUCUGCAGCUCUGAUGGACCAGAUUCCCAUUAAGUACCUGGUAACUCAGGCCCAGGGUCUGCAGCAGGAACUGGGAGGACUGCAUUCUGCUCUGCUGAGGCUACUUGCCACCAACUACCCCCAUCUGUGUCUGGUGGAGGACUGGGUUUGUGAGGAGGAAGUGACCGGUACUCUGCCGCUGCUCAGGAAGAUGAUGCUACCCAGCAACACCUGCAGAUACACUCAGAGUCAGCUUCAUCAAGCGUUCCAGAAGUUACCCUCUAGCAGUCCCAGGCUGAUGCGGAUCCUGGAGCACUUAACGCUGCUUUCCCCGGCCGACCUCAUCCCUUACGCCGAGGCCCUGACAUCCAGCACUGCGCUGCUGUUGGAGCCCGCCGUGCCUCGCCGCAUCCUGCAGACCCUCAACAAGCUUUGGAUGGGCCUCAACACUGUGAUGCCCCGCAGGUUGUGGGUGAUGACGGUGAACGCUCUCCAACCUUCAGCCAAGCUGCUCAGACAGCAGAAGUACACCCAGAAUGACCUGAUGGUCGACCCUCUCAUAGUUCUACGCUGCGACCAGAGGGUUUACAGGUGUCCUCCUUUAAUGGACAUUGUCCUUCACAUGCUGAACGGUUACCUGCUGGCGUCCAAAGCCUACCUACAUUGCCACCUAAAGGAGACAGCGGACUUUGACCGGCAGAACCAGACGGUGUCAAACCUGGGGAUUCAGGGUCAGCCGGACACACCUGAAGUCACACGAGAGGAGCUGAAAAACGCCCUCCUGGCUGCACAGGACAGCGCUGCGGUCCAGAUCCUCCUGGAGGUGUGUCUGCCAACCACUGAGGAGCAGCAGCUGGGGGCCAACUCCGAGAGCCUGUUGAAGAGCAUCAGGGACCCGGUGCCAGGGAAAUCCAAACAGGGAACCCUGGGGCCCGGAGCCAAGGGGUCCCCGGAGGACACGGAGCCAGAGGGAGGCCUGCUGAGUGACCUGAGGGAGGUGCAGUGUCUCAUCUGCUGUCUCCUCCACCAGAUGUUCAUCGCUGACCCCAACAUCGCCAAACUGGUCCAUUUUCAGGGUUACCCUCAGGCUCUGCUGCCUCUAACCGUGGCAGGCAUCCCCUCCAUCCAUAUCUGUCUGGACUUCAUCCCAGAGCUUCUGGCGCAGCCCCAGCUGGAAAAGCAGAUCUUUGCUAUCCAGUUGCUGUCUUACCUUUGUACCCAGUAUGCACUGCCCAAGUCGCUCAGCGUGGCCCGUCUGGCGAUCAGCGUCAUGGGAACGCUUCUCACAGUGUUGACGCAUGCAAAGCGGUUCGCCUUCUUCAUGCCCACUCUGCCGUGCCUGGUGGCGUUCUGCCAGGCCUUCCCGCCGCUAUACGACGACGUCGCAGCUCUGUUAGUGCAAGUAGGACAGGUGUGUGCGUCUGACGUCGCCACCAAAGCCAGGGACAUUGACCCUCUCAUCACCCGCCUGCAGUACUUGAAGGAAAAGCCCCAGGAGGCGGCGGUUCCAGGAGGAGGCUCCUCUAAGCUGACUCUACCCCAGAGGACGGCGGAGGAAAUGGGAGGAGCCGACCCCGACGUGCAGCUGUGUUACUGCGUGGAGGCCACCUUCAUGGACAUCAUCAGCUCUACUCUUCACGGACUGUAGACCUGAGACCAACACCUCAGACUGAAGACACUGGACUGAAGCUGCUGAGCACUGAACAGCUGUUCACAGUCCAGAGGGCCGCACUGUUGGAGUUUUCCAGAACCAAACAUGUUAACGUACGACAAAGGAGGAAGAAAUGACACAGUUGGACAUUUUAGAAUGGGUCCUGCUUUACAGUGGAGUUCUGACCUGGACUUAUACUCCAGUAACUGGUCCAACUGGUUCCAGUAGAUUUGUCAAACGUAACUGGCCAGCCCGUCUUCUGCCUUCAGAUCGUAUCGACGUUUGGUCGGUGAACGUGUGAUGGGACGUGUUUGUAGGGAGUCGGUCAGGUACUGCAGAACACACUGUACUUCUGAAGUCUGUCCGUUUGAACACACUGUAAAUAAACCCUUACAGUUUAUGUAGAGCUGUGUGUAUGUGGACUUAGUUACAGUUUGUAGAAAAAUGAAAUGCUGAACAUGUGAAAUGGGUCCAUUUUCUUGACCACUGUACACUUAUUUUUCUAUGAUGUACCAUUUUUUUCCAACAGUGAAAAGCAAUUAAAUUGUCUGAGCAUUUGUACUUUAUUUGUUUGUAAUAAAACAAAGAAAUGUGAAGUU